UACGGGGGGAGCAAGCGUUGUCCGGAUUUACUGGGCGUAAAGGGCGUGUAGGCGGAACGGUCAGUCGGUGGUGAAAUCUCCAGGCUCAACCUGGAAACUGCCUCCGAUACUGCCGUUCUUGAGUGCAGGAGAGGGUAGUGGAAUUCCCGGUGUAGCGGUGGAAUGCGCAGAUAUCGGGAGGAACACCCGUGGCGAAGGCGGCUGCCUGGCCUGACACUGACGCUGAGGCGCGAAAGCGUGGGGAGCAAACAGGAUUAGAUACCCGCGUA
rnacentral:rRNA from 1 species